rnacentral:lncRNA from 1 species
GUCAGCAGCACAUGGGCCAGGGCUGGCCAGCCUCUCAGCUCCACGCACCCAGACAGAAGCAUCCACAUCUGCACUCUUCAUAGCAGAGACCUCUCCCUGUUCAGGUUCUGCAUACAGAAGAGACGCCCAGAAAUAGAAGUUACAAACAUACUUUGAAAACAUUGGGAACUUGGUUCCAGACCACCACAAUAAAUUUCUAAGGAUCAGGAAUUUGGAGUAACCAACUGAAUGGUUCUGGUUCAAAGUCUCUCAAGAGGUUACUAUCAAGCUGCUGGCCCAGGGAUGGCUUGACUGGAGUAGCAUUCAUUUCCAAGCUCGUUCACACAGACAUUGGCAGACCUCAGUUUCUUGCUGACUGUUGGUUGGAGACUUCAGUUCUUCACCAUAUGGGCCUCUCCAUAGGAUUCCUGAGCGUCAUCAAAACAUGAUAGCUGCCUUCUCGCAAAACAAGUGACCUGAGAGAGUGCAUGAGGGUGACCAAAACUUAAGCUGCAAUCUCUUCAUGACCUAAUCGUGGCAGGGACAUACCAUCACUCCUGCCAUAUGCUACUGGCCACACAGACCAGCCCUGGUCUAACAGGCGGGGAUUAUACAAAGGUGUGAUUUCCCAUUGGUGGAGAUCCAAUUUGGCGGCCAACCUGGAGGCUCCCUUCCACAGUGAAAGUCUGCAAGAGCAGCAAUUUGUCCCCCUUCUUCCUGUCUGCCUGCCUACUGGUUGUACUGUUGAGUGUCCACAAGAGCUUUCCUUAAUGGGACCCUACUUAUCAUCACAGAAGCCAAGAUUUUCCAUCCAAAGUGCUAUAUUAACAACUUAAUAAAUGUUGUUC